CUCUGCUUUCCUUCAUGACAUCUCUGGUUCCUUUCUAGCCAUACUGUCAACCAUAUACAUGAUGGGACAAUCUUCCAUCUCUCCUCCUUUCUUCCUGCAUUUCCACUAUCCAGUCCUAAAAUAUUUUACCCAUUAUCUAAUCUUUCCCUGACAUUGAGACUUGAGAGUGAACCAAUCCAAGAGAAUGUGUUCCUUUUUCUUUUGUUUUUUUCUCUUUUUCAGGAUUAUAACUGAAAUACUUAGUUGAGGAUUUGGUGGAGUACUCUUUAUCAAAAAGAAAUUGGUGGAGUACUAAUUACUAGCCUCAAACCACAUAUUAAUAUAUUAAACCAACAAAGGUGUAGAUGUCCAGUAUUAUUUCUUUUUAACUAAUGUGACUGAAGCUCUGGUACCUCCAGACUCCAGUACAUCAAGCAAAAGCAUCAAUAUACAAAAAAUAGGUGAAGAAGUGCACUCUUGAUCUAAUGAGUAGAACUGUCAACCCCUUCAAAAGCCCACAUUCUUUUCUAUAACAUUCCCAGAGCAGACACAAAGGUUCAAUUUCAAAAUUUCGACCCAUAUUUCUGUUGUGAUGGAUGUUCCAAGAGAACUACUAUUUGCUGGAAGAACCUGAUAGACUCCAGAAGUGAAAAUAAAAGAUGCCAUUAGUCCAAAGAAACAGUGAAGUAGCAGGUGACUUGUGUCCUCAUAUGAUAGUUACAAAUGAAGCAUGCGUUAAUUAAUUCCGCAAAUUAUCGAUGUUAGAAAUUGCAUUGUGGGCUACAUGAAUCUCUACCUGCAUGGACCACAAGGCAAGCCAAUUACAUGUUACCCUACGUCCAUGUCCAUCUUUAUUCCUCAACCAUCAGUUUAACGGAACACCAGAAAUAUGGUUUAUGGGAUGCAUGAUAGAAUGAUAAUGCCUCUAUGCUAUCCAUGAAAAAUACAAGGAGAAAUCAGAUUCAAUGAGAGCUCAUGUUUUGGUUAUUAUUACUCUUUUUUGUAUCCAGAAACUAAGUUUUUCCUACACCUUUUUUAAUGUUCAAUUACGUUUUCCCUUUAAACUUAUAACCCUUUAUCAAAAAGAAAUUGGUGGAGUACUAAUUACUAGCCUCAAACCACAUAUUAAUAUAUUAAACCAACAAAGGUGUAGAUGUCCAGUAUUAUUUCUUUUUAACUAAUGUGACUGAAGCUCUGGUACCUCCAGACUCCAGUACAUCAAGCAAAAGCAUC
rnacentral:lncRNA from 1 species